CAAAGUGCUGGGAUUACAGGCGUGAGCCGCCGCGCCAGCCUAAUUUUUUUUCAAAAUUUUGGUUUUGCUUUAGGAGAAUUGCUUGAACCUGAGAGGUGGAGGUUGCAGUGAGCCAAGAUUGCAUCAGUGCACUCCAGCCCAGGCAACAGUGCAAGACUAUGUCAAAAAAAGAAAGAAAGAAAAAGGAAGGAAGGAAGAAAGGAAGGAAGGAAGGAAGGAAAGAAGGAAGGCAGGCAGGCAGUCAGGCAGGCAAGCAGCUUAUUUGGGAGGUGAUCCCCGGAAACACUGGCAGAGAGAGAAGUCAGGUAGGGAAGUGAAAGCAGUCAAUACAGAGUGCAAUUUCAAGCCAGCUACCAUUAUGAGCUUCAUCCCAAUAAGGAGCUCAACAACUCUAUCCAAUGACUUCUCUCUCCUUUCCCACAAAACAUCUGUGACCAGACACUUGGCUUAACCUCCACAUUUCUCUGCAUCUUUAUAUAGCUUCUCCUCCUUUUAUGAUAACUCAGAGGAGCAGAUAUCCCCUUCCUCUGAACAAAUGCCUCCACUUCAACUCUUCAUCUACUCCCUUUCUACCCCUCCAAAACCUUGCUCCGCCAGAGGCCCCCUGCCUUUCUCUACUCCCGCUCCCUCUUCAUCCUCAUUCCUUGAUAACACUUUGCAACCUGACUUUCAUUUCCCCUUCUUCCUCCCAUGCACUGAGGCUUGGGGGCUUUACUAAGAUGCUUUUCCCAGAGGAUCCUUCCUCGAGUUUCCGAUACACGUCUAUCCACCUUGUUUCAUAAACAGUCUAUUAUUAUUCACUGCUAAAAAACUCUCAUCUCAAAAUGUUAAGGAUCAUCAUAGCUACAUAACAAAGUUGUGGUAAGGAUUCGAGGUUAAAUACACUGUCUAGCAGAGCCUGGCACAAAGAGGCAGUCAGUACACAGCAGCAACCAAUACCAUCACCAAGCUUAAUUAUUGGAGUUUGCAACCCAUGGGUGAUCAGGACAGAAUAUGACAAGAAGGAGAGCUGUUAGAGGCAGAAGAGUAGUAGUUUGGGAUCAUUUUACAGAACUGCAGGAAGUCAGUGUCACCAGAGUUCUUGAGAUUUCCCAGUCUCUUGGACAUUGGUGGUGAUGGGCGUUCUUAAGGAUGACGACUGUAGUUAGAAGAGCUAGUUCCACAAUCAUCACAACAGUUUUUCCCUCUUAAAUAGAAAGUGCUGGUUUUCCAUGUCAAUACUAAAUGUUCAGUAACAACUGGCUGCAGUUGACAUUCCCAAGCAAAAGCAGGGGUCAAGCCCUAUCCAGUAGAGGAACCAAAGCAGAACCAGCCUUGCGUGGUUGGUCAUCCGGCCACUGAACUUUCUGCCACAAAGUCAAAGAGGUUUGGGACUAGCACGAGAAUAGAACAGCAGUGGGAUGAGUAGACAAGGGAGCCCACACACAGACCCGCAGGAAUGUACAAAUGAAGUACAUGGGCACCGAGGCAUUUCAAAGCCGUGAGGAGAGGAUGUCUUGAUUAUUAAAUCAAUGGUGCAGGGAUGAUUGACUAAGGGCUUGGAAAGGCAUAAAGUUCCCGUCUGUGCCUCACAUCCCAUGUCCAAAUAAGAUUCAACGUCU
rnacentral:lncRNA from 1 species